rnacentral:lncRNA from 1 species
CGAGCAAGGACGUCGUCUCUUGUGGAGACCUGGGGUUGGGCACAACACACCAGAGCUGCGGUCUCGAAGGUGGACCAAUAAGCAACAAGUCCCUGCUUUAUUUUAAACUGUGCUAGCGAUGCAAGCAGCCCCUAUGCACGGUUGACGUCUGUCCCAUAGCCCUUUUAAAUCCCGACUGGCUGCUACAGUUUAGGAUGGCUUGCAGUGGAAAGCCUGUACGAGAUAGAUGGUUUGCUCAAUCGUCAACACCCAAAACGCCCAAACAAGACUUAGUUUACGAUGAGGGCGAUUUCUUUAUUCGCCCACUGGGAUUCCCGACAUUUUACGACAAGUUUUCAACACCAUCCACAAAACGCGACAAUUUGGGAAGAACACGUCCUCUGUUGGAAGAACUCAUCUGGCAUUCAGAACCAUCCCUGACCAGUCAAUGUACAUGGCUCGCAAUGGCCAAGCCGGGACACAUUAUGGACUUCAGGGCGACCGUCGGGUCAGGGGAAAGCAAGUCUCGGGAGGCAAGAGAAAAGACUUUCAAAAGCAAGGAGACACACCAUUGCUCUGGCUUUUCAGCAAACGUUUUUGUAGAGGCUGAAGUUGACGCCGAAAGGAAUACAAGAAAUCAUCGACAUAGAUUUCGUCCGAAUCUUCUAUAACUUCCAGAUAUAAAGCUCUUAUUUUAUCAGGGAUUUAAUAUAUUCUUUUCAUGAUAGAGAUUUUUAAUUUGGAAGCUUUAUGGAAAGAGCACAUUGCAAGGACAUUCACUCUUUUAACAAGUCACGUUGUUUUAUCCGUUUUUCCUAAUAUUGAAAGGAAUCCCUCGUCCUGUCAGUAAAACUGAAUUCUGUUAAGUAGAACCUUUUGUAAAUAUCGCUUGCCCAACCCUUUUGUAAAUACAUAUCGCUUGCCUUGCCCUACCCAAAGGUCGUACGCACAUGUGUGAACAACUGUGAGACAACACAGACCAAAAGCUUGCACUUCUAUUGUCUCUCAUUGUGAUUAAAGCGAAGGCCAAAGGUAUUCACAGAAAAAAAAUACUCAAACAUACACCUACAAUCAUUUGAUAACACAUAUUAUUCAUUUUACUCAAACGCAGCAACGUCUUAGAAUAUAGGACCUUUGUACUAGUACAGAAAAACAUUCUAAAGUGUUUGAGCUAUUUUUAAACCGGACAAGAUCACACAUUUCUAUGCAGAGGGCCUCAAGUUCUCGGUACACUGAGAUUGGAAAACAAUGUUUUAUGCAACGACGCAUGUGUCAUUUUGCUGAAGAGCAGGAAAUUGAGCUGUGCCAAAAAAUCUUUAACACAUAAUUUUUUUUUCUCUGGGCAAUUUUGCCAGACACUAUCCAAAUAAACCUUAAAAACUC